UCCUUGAACUGUUUCAGGAAAAGUUUAGUGAUGUUGUAAACUAGAUCAAAGCAAAUUUGACCAAAGGGGAAAAUUUGUCUGCUGAUGUUGGUGCUUCUUUUGCUGGGAAAACAUUAUUCGAAUAGUACAGAUACUUGAUACAAGGUUUGAGGGAUAUGAUCAUUUAUUAUUUUGUUUGGUUAUGAUGUAAAUUGCUUAUUGGAAUGGUUUCUAAUUUUUUUCUUUAAUUUUUUGGUAAAGAAAUACUAAAUGGGGGGUUUAUUUAUUGUAUUAUUAUUUAUUAUUAUAGCAUCUCAAAAUGUUCCAAAAUAGUAAAUGCUAAAACUCUCACAAGUUUAUGCCAACUUAUUAUUUAUUAUUAUAAAAUUUGCUGUUAUUUAGUCUCAGUUUUUUUAAUGUUUGUCAUUUUCUUUUUGUUCUUUGCAAUCUUCUCUAAUUGUCUUAUUAUUUAUUAUUAUAAAAUUUGCCGUCAUUUAUUGCUUUAUUUGGAUCGAUAUUUCUCCCUUUUUUUUCUGUUGCUAGAGAUCUCUGUUCAGCUCAGUUUACUAUGAAAGAUGCUGCAACGAAGGAUAACUAGAUCAACAACAUGGCUUGGCAAAGGUCUGUAUUGUUGUGUCUGCACAGAGGAGAGAGAGUGAUGCUCGUCCCUCUUUUGAUCUAACUCCAGUACAAGAUUUGCCAACUGUAGUGAUGUAUUUCCUGUUUAUAUUGGAGAUGAUAGAACCGAUGAAGAUGCAUUCAAGAAAUUGGGAGACAGAGGGCAUGGUCUUGGAAUUCUUGUCUCGAAAUUUCUGGAAGACACUAAUGCUUCGUACUCUUUACAAGAACCUAAUGAGAAACUCAUCAUGUACAAAGCAGCGGCUGCAAUAACAGCAGCAGCAACGGCAGCUGUGGAAGGAUCAAAACAAGAACAAAAGAUGCUCUUCAACAACAGUCUCUAAAAUAAUGCAUCUUUAUUUGUUUUUGGAUUUCUUUAUGUAGAUUAGUUGAAUCUUCGGAGUUUUUGGGAACAAAGAGAGCUAUUUGCGGAUUGUGAUAUUGACAGAUGGUGAAUAUAAUAACUACUUCAAAUGUUCUGUUAGAUAUGGAAUCAUGAAGUCCUAGAUGAAGUUGUACACUCAGCUGAAGUGUGAUUUAGAUGUUGUAAAUUUUACUUUGCAAAGUGAUGACUUCACAGUGAAA